AUUGAACGCUGGCGGCAUGCCUUACACAUGCAAGUCGAACGGCAGCACGGGGCAACCUGGUGGCGAGUGGCGAACGGGUGAGUAAUGCAUCGGAACGUACCUUUCAGUGGGGGAUAACGUAGCGAAAGUUACGCUAAUACCGCAUAUUCUGUGAGCAGGAAAGCAGGGGAUCGCAAGACCUUGCGCUGAUUGAGCGGCCGAUGUCAGAUUAGCUAGUUGGUGAGGUAAAGGCUCACCAAGGCGACGAUCUGUAGCGGGCCUGAGAGGAUGAUCCGCCACACUGGAACUGAGACACGGUCCAGACUCCUACGGGAGGCAACAGUGGGGAAUGUUGGACAAUGGGGGCAACCCUGAUCCAGCCAUGCCGCGUGAGUGAAGAAGGCCUUCGGGUUGUAAAGCUCUUUCGGCCGGGAAGAAAUCGUAUCAGCUAAUACCUGGUGCGGAUGACGGUACCGGCAUAAGAAGCACCGGCUAACUACGUGCCAGCAGCCGCGGUAAUAC
rnacentral:rRNA from 1 species